rnacentral:rRNA from 1 species
GACGAACGCUGGCGGCAGGCCUAACACAUGCAAGUCGAACGCCGUAGCAAUACGGAGUGGCAGACGGGUGAGUAACGCGUGGGAACAUACCCUCCGGUUCGGAAUAACUCAGGGAAACUUGAGCUAAUACCGGAUACGUCCAAGGUUUUAAUCGGCCUUGGAGAAAGAUUUAUCGCUGGAGGAUUGGCCCGCGUCUGAUUAGCUUGUUGGUGAGGUAAUGGCUCACCAAGGCGACGANCAGUAGCUGGUCUGAGAGGAUGAUCAGCCACAUUGGGACUGAGACACGGCCCAAACUCCUACGGGAGGCAGCAGUGGGGAAUAUUGGACAAUGGGCGAAGCCUGAUCCAGCCAUGCCGCGUGAGUGAU